AUUGAACGCUGGCGGCAGGCUUAACACAUGCAAGUCGAGCGGAGUGAUGGUGCUUGCACUAUCACUUAGCGGCGGACGGGUGAGUAAUGCUUAGGAAUCUGCCUAUUAGUGGGGAACAACAUCUCGAAAGGGAUGCUAAUACCGCAUACGUCCUACGGGAGAAAGCAGGGGAUCACUUGUGACCUUGCGCUAAUAGAUGAGCCUAAGUCGGAUUAGCUAGUUGGUGGGGUAAAGGCCUACCGAGGCGACGAUCUGUAGCGGGUCUGAGAGGAUGAUCCGCCACACUGGGACUGAGACACGGCCCAGACUCCUACGGGAGGCAGCAGUGGGGAAUAUUGGACAAUGGGGGGAACCCUGAUCCAGCCAUGCCGCGUGUGUGAAGAAGGCCUUAUGGUUGUAAAGCACUUUAAGCGAGGAGGAGGCUCUUUUGGUUAAUACCCAAGAUGAGUGGACGUUAUUCGCAGAAUAAGCACCGGCUAACUCUGUGCCAGCAGCCGCAGUAA
rnacentral:rRNA from 1 species